UUUAAAUGGCCGCAGUAUACUGACUGUGCAAAGGUAGCAUAAUCAAUAGUCUUUUAAUUGAAGGCUAGAAUGAAUGGUUGGACGAGAUAUUAACUGUUUCAUUUAAAUUUAUAAAAGAAUUUUAUUAUUUAGUUAAAAAGCUAAAAUUAAUUUAAAAGACGAGAAGACCCUAUAAAUCUUUAUACUUAUAUUAUUAUAAUUUUUUAGAUAUAUUUUAUUAUAAUAAAUUAUAGUAUUUUAUUGGGGUGAUAUUAAAAUUUAAUAAACUUUUAAUUGUAAUAUACAUUAAUUUAUGAAUUAUUGAUCCAUUAAUAAUGAUUAAAAAUUUAAGUUACUUUAGGGAUAACAGCGUAAUUUUUUUGGAGAGUUCUUAUCGAUAAAAAAGAUUGCGACCUCGAUGUUGGAUUAAGAUAUAAUUUUAGGUGU
rnacentral:rRNA from 1 species